rnacentral:rRNA from 1 species
AGAGUUUGAUCCUGGCUCAGAAUCAACGCUGGCGGCGUGCCUAACACAUGCAAGUCGAACGAGAAAGUGGAGCAAUCCAUGAGUAAGGUGGCGACCGGGUGAGUAACACGUGACUAACCUACCUCCGAGUGGGGGAUAACUCCGGGAAACCGGGGCUAAUACCGCAUAACAUCGUGAGAUCAAAGCAGCAAUGCGCUUGGAGAGGGGGUCGCGGCUGAUUAGCUAGUUGGCGGGGUAACGGCCCACCAAGGCGAAGAUCGGUAUCCGGCCUGAGAGGGCGCACGGACACACUGGAACUGAAACACGGUCCAGACUCCUACGGGAGGCAGCAGUGGGGAAUUUUGCGCAAUGGGGGAAACCCUGACGCAGCAACGCCGCGUGGAGGAUGAAGCCCCUUGGGGCG